rnacentral:rRNA from 1 species
CAGCCGCCGCGGGAAAACGAAGGGGGCUAGCGUUGCUCGGAAUGACUGGGCGUAAAGGGCGCGUAGGCGGAUUGUUUAGUUAGGCGUGAAAUUCCUGGGCUUAACCUGGGGACUGCGCUUAAUACAGGCAGCCUAGAGUGAGGAAGAGGGUUGUGGAAUUCCCAGUGUAGAGGUGAAAUUCGUAGAUAUUGGGAAGAACACCGGUGGCGAAGGCGGCAACCUGGUCCUUGACUGACGCUGAGGCGCGAAAGCGUGGGGAGCAAACAGGAUUAGAUACCCCGUAGUCCCUGUCUCUUAUACA